rnacentral:rRNA from 1 species
AGCGAACGCUGGCGGCAGGCCUAACACAUGCAAGUCGAGCGCCCCGCAAGGGGAGCGGCAGACGGGAGAGUAACACGUGGGAACGUACCCUUCGGUUCGGAACAACCCAGGGAAACUUGGGCUAAUACCGGAUACGUCCGAAAGGAGAAAGAUUUAUCGCCGAGGGAUCGGCCCGCGUCUGAUUAGCUGGUUGGUGGGGUAACGGCCCACCAAGGCGACGAUCAGUAGCUGGUCUGAGAGGAUGAUCAGCCUCACUGGGACUGAGACACGGCCCAGACUCCUACGGGAGGCAGCAGUGGGGAAUAUUGGACAAUGGGCGCAAGCCUGAUCCAGCCAUGCCGCGUGGGUGAUGAAGGCCCUAGGGUUGUAAAGCCCUUUCGGCGGGGAAGAUAAUGACGGUACCCGCAGAAGAAGCCCCGGCUAACUUCGUGCCAGCAGCCGCCGUAAGAC